rnacentral:rRNA from 1 species
UACGAAGGGGGCGAGCGUUGUUCGGAAUUACUGGGCGUAAAGGGCGCGUAGGCGGCGACCCAAGUCAGAUGUGAAAGUCCUGGGCUUAACCUGGGGACUGCAUUUGAUACUGGGUUGCUUGAAUUCGGGAGAGGAUAGCGGAAUUCCCAGUGUAGAGGUGAAAUUCGUAGAUAUGGGGAGGAACACCGGUGGCGAAGGCGGCCAUCUGGACGGUAACUGACGCUGAGACGCGAAAGCGUGGGUAGCAAACAGG